GUGCCAGCCGCCGCGGUAAUACGGAGGGUGCAAGCGUUAUUCGGAUUUACUGGGCGUAAAGGGAGCGCAGGCUGCCAGAUAAGUCAGCUGUGAAAGCCCGGGGCUCAACCCCGGAAGUGCAUUUGAAACUGUUUGGCUUGAGUAUGGUAGAGGGAAGUGGAAUUCCAGGUGUAGCGGUGAAAUGCGUAGAUAUCUGGAGGAACACCGGUGGCGAAGGCGACUUCCUGGACCAAUACUGACGCUGAGGCUCGAAGGUGUGGGUAGCAAACAGGAUUAGAAACCCGGGUAGUCC
rnacentral:rRNA from 1 species